ACUGUCCGGACAGCGCUUUCCUUACAAUUGUGGGCCCGUAAGUGCUAAAUACGUUAGGCUCCGAUUUGCCGGUUUUGUGGGUGUGCCAUCUCACUGAACCGUGUUUUUCUUUUUUUCCAGUGUCACGUUCUGGUUCCUAGAAAUAACGACGUUUUAAGUCGCAAACAGGCAAGGGUUCAUCCGUUUUCAAAACGUGGGAGCUGGCGCAAAUCGGAGUGACCAGGCUUCUUGGCAAAAAAGUUCUUCUCCUAUGCUUGUGAAGAGACCUCAAAAGUCCUACAGAGUAGAUGCAGCAGAUCCCCACUGAGGAGCUUCUACUGGACGGGAAGAGAGUCUGAGAGGUCCCAAGGUCAGUGGAGAACCUGUGACGUGUCAGUGCACAGGCCCCGAUACCCUUCCAUCAGGCCACGGAGCCCAAGCUUCCUCAGGACCCCCAGCGCCUUGGCGGGACGGACACGUGGUGGACUUCACGGAGCCACUGAGGACCGUGUGGUGGCCGUGGGGAGGUGCCCCCUCAGCUCCAGGCCUGUGGCUAAGCUUGCUGCUGCUGCUCUGAGCUUGAAUUUCUCUCUGAGGAUCUCAGGUGUCUCUUAUGUCUCUGUUCACCCCGUACCACACCGUGUUACACAUCUGUGAGCACAGGGACCGGGCAGGGACUGACCUUGCACUUCAGUCUGGCACAGGGAUACGCAGUCUGGAUCUCCUGGUUGCUGUGGGCUGGUGGGUAGAGGAGGGAAAUGGUGUUUUGAUGUCACACGAGGCAAUUCUUGUCUCCCUUUCCCAAGCCCUCAGCUUGUGCAUGCGCGCGCGCGCACACACACACACACAUACACGCCCACACGAGUCUGUGCCCUGAACCACUCUCUGCACAUCCUUCAUCUGGAGCCCUGGGCAGCCUGGGGAGGCCCCUCUUCCAGGCCCCUGCAGGGCCGCCCUUCCCCAGGGAAGGCCAGGCAGCCCCAUGAGCUAGCGAGGGCCGGCGGGGCCGGGCCCAGGUCUGGGGCUUCGAAGGCCACUGACCCAGGGACGACGGGGCAUCGAAUAUGCCAGGGUCCGGGUGCCUGCAGACCGGUGAGGUAGCAUGGUUGUCCUCCCGCAUUAGAGUGACCCUGGGGACACUGCUUGAACGGUCCUCUCCGCGGAGGGUGGAACCAGACCGUGUGGGUGGUUUGAUGGCCACACACUCAAAUUAUUUUUUAUGUCGGGAUUGUCACGCACGUGGAUCGAUGCCAGGUUCGAGCGCAGUGGAGAGGCUCAGGUGCACAGAGGCUGCGCAUCUUGUGUGAGGUCACCCACUGGCAGGCUGGUGUGUGGUCUGAACACAGGCAGUCUGCGUUUGGAGCGUGCCUUCCGACCGACGUGUCCCAGACAGUCCCGCACAUUGCUGGCGGUGAGAUGAGGUGGGAGUCAUUCA